GUUGAGUAAAAAAAGUAUAGGUAAAAUACAUUUUAGCCAAUCACCAUUACAUCUUAGGAGCGACUCAUCAUCUUCUUAAACUCUUCAAAAUUCACAUUCCCAUCAGCAUCAGCAUCAACGUUUCCGAUCAUUUUCCGGCAAUCACCAAGCGAACAUUUCUCCCCCAACCGCCGCAUCACCGCGUGAAGCUCUUUCGCCGAAAUCAACCCAUUCUUAUCCAAAUCAUACAUCUCAAACGCCUCUCUAAGCUCCUUAGUAUCACCACCGCCGUUGUGUAACUCCCCGAAUUCCUUUAGAUCAAUGUAACCGUCUCCGUUCCGAUCAAGCUCCUCCAUCAUACGAGUAACUUCCUCCGUCGUUGUUUUAGAUCCGAGCGCCGUCAUCAUUUCCUUCAGCUCCGUGCGUGAGAUCUUCCCGUCGCCGUUUUUGUCGAAUUUGUUAAAGAUCUUGCGAACUUCUUCUUGGUCCAUGGCCUGAGAAAUAGAAGAGUUUAUGUCUUUCUGAUUUUGAGUUCAGUUUGUUUGGUAUUGUGAUGUGUGAUUUAUAGAAACGUGAUUUGGUCACGGAAACGCGUUUUUUAGGUAAAAAGUUGAAGAAAAAAAGAGAAAUAUUGAGGUGGAAUAAUUACAAACGCGGUUUUUGAGUGAAGUGAAAGUGAAAUGUUAUGUUUGGGAGUGAAGGAAAGUAGAUACUAUGAUAAACACCACAAGAAAACAGGAAGCGUGUUUUGAAUUAUGGUUGGAAGUUGGAACACACGAGAUUCAUGAUUCAUUGCAUGUUAUGUUGUGCUGUUAUUGUUUGUUCGUCAAUCAUAAGUUUUUGUGGUUAAGUUAAAAGUUGGUAUGACAGAUAUUUAUUUUUUUAAUCUUUACAAAUUUUAUUUUAUUUUAUCUAGUACAAAUAUUAAUUUUAAUUUUUUUUUUUGUUCCAUCAGAGGGUAAAGUUCAAGAAAAAGAAAUAAAAUAUAUAGUGAAACGACA
rnacentral:lncRNA from 1 species